rnacentral:rRNA from 1 species
UACGGGGGGGGGCAAGCGUUGUUCGGAAUUACUGGGCGUAAAGGGCUUGUAGGUGGCCAACUAAGUCAGACGUGAAAUCCCUCAGCUUAACUGGGGAACUGCGUCUGAUACUGGAUGGCUUGAGUUUGGGAGAGGGACGCGGAAUUCCAGGUGUAGCGGUGAAAUGCGUAGAUAUCUGGAGGAACACCGGUGGCGAAGGCGGCGUCCUGGACCAACACUGACACUGAAAAGCGAAAGCCAGGGGAGCAAACGGG